rnacentral:rRNA from 1 species
UAUUAUAUUUUGAAAGUAUUCUUUAGUUUUUAUAUUUAUGAUUGACUUUUUUUUAUGAUAGUUGACUAGUAAUGUAGGUGAAAUUUAAUAUUAAUUAAAAUUUUUUAAGAAGAUUUAAUUUUUUGUACCUUUUGUAUCAGGGUUUAUUAAAUAAUAAUUUUAUAUUUAAUUUUUCUCGAUUUAAGAAGAUUUAAUAAAUUAUUUAUUUUUAUGUAGAAUUAUAAUUUUUAAUAAUUUAUUGGUAGCGAAACGUUAUUCGUUUUUUAAUAUAUCUAGUUUUUUAAGAAAAAAAUUUAAUUUUUUUAUUUAAAUUUUUAAUUAUUAUUGUUUAUAGUUGAAUAAUAAAUAUUAAAUAUAUAAUGGGAUAAGCUGUUAUAUAAAUUAUUAAAAAUAAAUUUAUUUUAAUUAUUAGUAUAAUUAAUAUUGUUAAUCUAUUAUAUAAUUUUAUAAUUAUUAUUUAAGUUUAUAUAAUUUAUAUUUAUUUUAAGUUUUUUAUUAAAAUAAAACUUUAAAUUUUGUUAAGUUUGUUAUUAUGAUAAAAUUAGUAAUUAUAUUAUGUUUAAAAUAAGUGUUGGUGAGGUUAUUUAAAGUAAUUCGGCAAAAGAUUUUACGCCUGUUUAUUAAAAACAUGUUUUUUUGAUUAUAAUUUAAAAUUUGAUCUGCUCAAUGAUUAUUUAAAUUGCCGCAGUAUUUUAACUGUGCAAAGGUAGCAUAAUAAUUAGUUUCUUGAUUAGAAGCUGGAAUGAAUGAUUGGACGAUAAAAUAACUGUCUCUAUUUAAUUAUUUUAUGAAUUUUAUUUUUAAGUUAAAAAGCUUAAAUUUUAUUAAAAGACGAGAAGACCCUAUAGAGUUUAAUAUUAUUUAGGUUUUUAAUUUUUGGAAUAAUUUUAAAUUUAUUAUUAUUUAGUUGGGGUGACUUGAAAAUUUAUUAAAUUUUUUAAAAUUUUAAUUUUUUAUUUGAAAUUUUAUAAUCUAUAUUUUUAAAUUUAAAAUAAAUUACCUUAGGGAUAACAGCGUAAUUUUUCUUUAAAGUUCUUAUUGAAAGGAAAGGUUGCGACCUCGAUGUUGGAUUAAAAUUAAUUCUAGGUGCAGUAGCUUAGGGAUUAAGUCUGUUCGACUUUUAAAAUUUUACAUGAUCUGAGUUUAGACCGGCGUGAGCCAGGUCGGAUUCUAUCUUUAAUCUAAUUUAAUAUUUUAGUACGAAAGGACCAUAUAUU